UACAGAGGUCUCAAGCGUUGUUCGGAUUCAUUGGGCGUAAAGGGUGUGUAGGUGGCGGGCUAAGUCGGGUGUGAAAUUUCGGAGCUUAACUCCGAAACUGCAUUCGAUACUGGCGUGCUUGAGGACUGGAGAGGAGACUGGAAUUCAUGGUGUAGCAGUGAAAUGCGUAGAGAUCAUGAGGAAGACCAGUGGCGAAGGCGGGUCUCUGGACAGUUCCUGACACUGAGACACGAAGGCCAGGGGAGCAAACGGG
rnacentral:rRNA from 1 species